rnacentral:rRNA from 1 species
GAUGAACGCUGGCGGCGUGCCUAAUACAUGCAAGUCGAGCGAACAGACGAGGAGCUUGCUCCUCUGACGUUAGCGGCGGACGGGUGAGUAACACGUGGAUAACCUACCUAUAAGACUGGGAUAACUUCGGGAAACCGGAGCUAAUACCGGAUAAUAUAUUGAACCGCAUGGUUCAAUAGUGAAAGACGGUUUUGCUGUCACUUAUAGAUGGAUCCGCGCCGCAUUAGCUAGUUGGUAAGGUAACGGCUUACCAAGGCAACGAUGCGUAGCCGACCUGAGAGGGUGAUCGGCCACACUGGAACUGGGACACGGUCCAGACUCCUACGGGAGGCAGCAGUAGGGAAUCUUCCGCAAUGGGCGAAAGCCUUACGGAGCAACGCCGCGUGAGUGAUGAAGGUCUUCGGAUCGUAAAACUCUGUUAUUAGGGAAGAACAAAUGUGUAAGUAACUAUGCACGUCUUGACGGUACCUAAUCAGAAAGCCACGGCUGACUACGUG